AUUUGUUGAAGGAAUGAAUGGGGAAUGGAUAACUUCAGAGGCUUGCACACAUGUCAGUUUCCCUUCGGUGUUUCCAUGUAACCCACAGCCCUGGACACAUGCGGCCCCCAUGUGUGUCUUCACCGUGGUGGUCUGUGAUCGCCAAUCUCCCUGCCCUUGCUGUUGUCUCCUUCUUGCCCUGGUUCCCCAGCCCUCCUUCGAGCAGCUUUGGGGCAGUGCUACCCAGCCUGCAUGGGGAGGGGAGGCAGCCAGGCGCCGGGGACAGCCAUGAAGGCGGCCAGCUGGGGUUCUCAUGAUUUCUCCUUCCUCCUCAGGUGUUGCUUUUUUCCGGUACACUUGACCUUGAACGUGACCAUGACCGGAGGCAUUGUCUGAGAGAUGGCUCGGCCCUCUUCAGCGCCAACUUCCUUCCUAGAUCACCUAGGCUGGGUGGGAUUCCAUUUAGACCAUUUGCCUGUGUUUUGUGGCAUCUCCACUAUAAGUCAGGGAUCCAAGGCUCUGGUUCUCUGAGCCUCACCUGGCUGUAGGACUCGGUUUCUGGAUAAUAGAAACACCGCCACCAUCCACCCCGCUGCUCAGGAGAAAUUCCUUUCUUCCUCUCACCUUUGGGCCCCGAUGGAGAAUCACAUGGUGUGGACACCUGCGCCCCUCAACUGCACAGCCACCACCCUGGUCUCAGCCGCCACAGCCCAGCAUCUGGACACCCGGAGCAGCUACGGCACGGGCUCUGCCUUCCACCCUCCUUCUAGGCAACAGCCAGAGCAGCCGAAAUGCCCCUCAGGUUACGUCUCUCCCUGCAGAAAACUCCUUACAGCUUUCAGUGAAAUUUAAGGUAAAACCUGAACUCUGUGCCACCGCCCCCAGGGCCUCCAUGAACAAUCCUGCGUCUCUGUGGACGGGAGGCUCCAUGAGGACAGGAAGGGGACAAUUUCUACUCCCUUUGCAAUUCAUAACGCCUGGGUCGGGGGGAAUCUCCGUAAAUAUUAGUGGUUCGAACUCAAGGACAUGCUCACUCGUGUUCUCCC
rnacentral:lncRNA from 1 species